rnacentral:rRNA from 1 species
UACAGAGGGUGCGAACGUUGCUCGGAAUUACUGGGCGUAAAGCGCGUGUAGGCGGAACGGCAAGUCAGAUGUGAAAUCCCCGGGCUCAACCCAGGAACUGCAUCUGAAACUGCCGAUCUUGAGUACUGGAGAGGGUGGCGGAAUUCCUGGUGUAGAGGUGAAAUUCGUAGAUAUCAGGAGGAACACCGGUGGCGAAGGCGGCCACCUGGACAGUUACUGACGCUGAGACGCGAAAGCGUGGGGAGCAAACAGGAUUAGAAACCCCAGUAGU